AGCACGAUGGCCGAGUGGUUAAGGCGUUGGACUUAAGAUCCAAUGGAAUUAUUUCCGCGUGGGUUCGAACCCCACUCGUGCUA
rfam:Biomphalaria glabrata isolate BB02 unplaced genomic scaffold LGTN_random_Scaffold171, whole genome shotgun sequence.